GACAGAGGGUGCAAACGUUGUUCGGAAUUACUGGGCGUAAAGGGCGCGUAGGCGGCCCGCUAAGUCGAACGUGAAAUCCCCAGGCUCAACCUGGGAACUGCGUCCGAUACUGGCAGGCUUGAAUCCGGGAGAGGGAUGUGGAAUUCCAGGUGUAGCGGUGAAAUGCGUAGAUAUCUGGAGGAACACCGGUGGCGAAGGCGGCAUCCUGGACCGGUAUUGACGCUGAGGCGCGAAAGCCAGGGGAGCAAACGGG
rnacentral:rRNA from 1 species